rnacentral:rRNA from 1 species
UUUGGUGGUAUACGAUGGAUCCGCGUCUGAUUAGCUUGUUGGCGGGGUAAAGGCCCACCAAGGCGACGAUCAGUAGCCGGCCUGAGAGGGUGAACGGCCACAUUGGGACUGAGACACGGCCCAAACUCCUACGGGAGGCAGCAGUGGGGAAUAUUGCACAAUGGGGGAAACCCUGAUGCAGCGACGCCGCGUGAGUGAAGAAGUAUUUCGGUACGUAAAGCUCUAUCAGCAGGGAAGAAAAUGACGGUACCUGACUAAGAAGCCCCGGCUAACUACGUGCCAGCAGCCGCGGUAAUACGUAGGGGGCAAGCGUUAUCCGGAUUUACUGGGUGUAAAGGGAGCGUAGACGGCAGCGCAAGUCUGAAGUGAAAUCCCAUGGCUUAACCAUGGAACUGCUUUGGAAACUGUGCAGCUGGAGUGCAGGAGAGGUAAGCGGAAUUCCUAGUGUAGCGGUGAAAUGCGUAGAUAUUAGGAGGAACACCAGUGGCGAAGGCGGCUUACUGGACUGUAACUGACGUUGAGGCUCGAAAGCGUGGGGAGCAAACAGGAUUAGAUACCCUGGUAGUCCACGCUGUAAACGA